rnacentral:rRNA from 1 species
UACGGGGGGAGCAAGCGUUGUUCGGAUUUACUGGGCGUAAAGGGCGCGUAGGCGGCGCCGCAAGUCGACCGUGAAAUCUCCGGGCUUAACCCGGAAAGGUCAGCCGAUACUGCGGGGCUAGAGUGCAGAAGGGGCAACUGGAAUUCUCGGUGUAGCGGUGAAAUGCGUAGAUAUCGAGAGGAACACCUGCGGCGAAGGCGGGUUGCUGGGCUGACACUGACGCUGAUGCGCGAAAGCUAGGGGAGCGAACGGG